UUCUUCUGAACGGUAGAAAAUAG
rnacentral:piRNA from 1 species